CGGGGCUUAGUGCCGGAGCUAACGCAAUAAGCACUCCGCCUGGGGAGUACGACCGCAAGGUUGAAACUCAAAGGAAUUGACGGGGGCCCGCACAAGCGGUGGAGCAUGUGGUUUAAUUCGAAGCAACGCGAAGAACCUUACCAGGUCUUGACAUCCCGAUGCUAUUCUUAGAGAUAGGAAGUUACUUCGGUACAUCGGAGACAGGUGGUGCAUGGUUGUCGUCAGCUCGUGUCGUGAGAUGUUGGGUUAAGUCCCGCAACGAGCGCAACCCUUAUUGUUAGUUGCCAUCAUUAAGUUGGGCACUCUAGCGAGACUGCCGGUAAUAAACCGGAGGAAGGUGGGGAUGACGUCAAAUCAUCAUGCCCCUUAUGACCUGGGCUACACACGUGCUACAAUGGUCGGUACAACGAGUUGCGAGCCGGUGACGGCAAGCUAAUCUCUGAAAGCCGAUCUCAGUUCGGAUUGGAGGCUGCAACUCGCCUCCAUGAAGUCGGAAUCGCUAGUAAUCGCGGAUCAGCACGCCGCGGUGAAUACGUUCCCGGGCCUUGUACACACCGCCCGUCACACAACGAGAGUUUGUAACACCCGAAGUCGGUGAGGUAACCUUUUAGGGNCCA
rnacentral:rRNA from 1 species